CAGGGGGGUUGCUGGCAGCCCCUGUGCCGGGGGCAUCGCUGCUGGGAGCUUUGAAGCUGCCAGGCUCAGCCAGGUGCAGGGAAGCAGCAACUCGCCCCAAAUUGCUCCCACUGGAUCUUGUUGUAACCUGUCAGCUGUGACAUGAGGGGCCACCCUCUUCCCACCCCAGCAUAGUGCAGGGCCUCCCUCCCCGUGAGCUUCCCCACGUGACCCCCUCACCCCACUUUCUCCACUUAGGCUGUCAACGAGGUGGCUUUGGGCUUUCCCAACGUCAUGAUCCUCCCUCUAGGUAAGUGCUGGGCGGGAAAGGGAUGAAGCUUCUCCGGAUUUAAUUGCAACCGUGGGUGGCUCCAGGAAAUGCCACCAAGCAGGCGGGUCCUUUGGUUUGGCUUAGCUCAUCCAGGUCACUGAUGGGACCAGGAGGAUGCUCAGCAGCUGGGAGUUACCUCCUGCCAUGUCUUACAGCAUCUUGCCAGAGUUGUGGCCACCAGCCUGUCCCCAAACCCUCCUGUCCCCUUGCAGAUGUGACAGACCCCAACAGCAUCAAGGCAGCAGUUGGGAAGGUGCAGGAGGGGCUGGGAAAUGCUGGCCUCAACCUCCUGAUUAACAACACCAGCACCACACGCCGCAGCACCUUGGCCACCGAGACAGCAGAGAACAUGAGCCUCGUCUACACCACCAACACCAUCGGGCCCCUGCAGACAAGCCAGGUGAGGACACAGCAGCCCCUGCCCCAAACACUGGGAACAGGGAGGAAGAGGAUGGUGAUGCCUGAGAUUCCAUCCCCUGCAGGCCUUCCUGCCCCUGCUGAAGAAGGCAGCUGAUGCUGAAGGACGGCGUGAGAUGAGCUGCAGCAGAGCUGCCAUCAUCAACAUCUCCAGCAUCUUGGGCUCCAUCGAGGUUGCAGAGGCUUGGGAGGAGAGGCAGGACAUCUGCUACCGCUGCAGCAAGGUACCACCACUGGGAGGAUGGGGAGGAAUUGGUGGGUCACCUCCUCUGGGAUUCCCCCCACCACGGGCCCUGGCAUUGCCAAAUCAUGAUGGCAAAGAGGGGAAUUUGUCCUCCCAGGCUGCUCUGAACAUGCUCACCAAGUGCCUUGCCCUGGAGUACGGGAGCAGCGGGAUCCUCUGUGUGUCUGUGGAUCCUGGACAUGUGACACCUCCCUUGGAACCGGGGAUGGGCCCGGUGACGUUGGAGGAGAGCGUGCGGGGGGUCCUGCAGCUGCUGGCCCAGCUCUCAGCCACCAGCAACGGCACCUUCUGGGACUGGAGAGGGCAGAGGCUGCCCUGGUGAGAGCAGCAUCUGCCCACAGGGCUUGGAUAAUUAAUAAAAGUGAAUUAAUUGCCAUUUCCAGGCUGACUGUGAU
rnacentral:lncRNA from 12 species